AACGUACUGUGAAGUGUGAAGACAGCUGUAGUAUUCAUAUAAAUUACUUGGCGGUUACAAGUGCACAUCACUUGUAUACAUUUUUCAUUGCCCACGAUUAUUAUAAUUCAUAAUUUUAGUACUAUGAAAGGCAUAACAAAAAAAAUCCUAAUAAUGCAACUUUUUCAUAAGAUCAGAUAGCAGCAACAACACAACUUGAGAGGUUGUCCCAUACAAUGAGAAAAGCUGGAGGCUGUGGAACCCAGUCUAGUGUGCAUAAUUACUCAAUACUACUUUUGGUGGGGUGCUAUCCAUCAUCUCAUCUACCUACAUGCCAUUUUUUAUUUUAUUUCGAUUUAGAAAAUUCUUUUUAAAAUUUAAAUUAUCUAAGUUAAGCAAACUAUGAUUAAACAAAAUUCAUAUAAUUCACUAAAUAUAGUAUAAUAGCGGAUGAAAAUUCAGAAAAUAAAGAUGAGGCUUUAAUUAAAAUUUGCUUGCCAUAUAUAUGCAUAUAAAAUAAAAAAUAGUAUCUGUACACUAAAAUUAACUAUUAAAAUUAGCCAC
rnacentral:lncRNA from 1 species